AGCGAACGCUGGCGGCAGGCCUAAUACAUGCAAGUCGAACGCACCUUCGGGUGAGUGGCGGACGGGUGAGUAACGCGUGGGAACGUGCCCUUUGGUACGGAACAACUGAGGGAAACUUCAGCUAAUACCGGAUGAUGUCUUCGGACCAAAGGUUUAUCGCCCAGGGAUGAGCCCUCAUGGGAUUAGCUAGUCGGUGAGGUAAAGGUGCACCAAGGGGACGAUCCGUAGAUGGUCUGAGAGGAUGAUCCGCCACACUGGGACUGAGACACGGCCCAGACUCCUACGGGAGGCAGCAGUGGGGAAUAUUGGACAAUGGGCGAAAGCCUGAUCCAGCAAUGCCGCGUGAGUGAUGAAGGCCUUAGGGUUGUAAAGCUCUUUUACCCGGGAUGAUAAUGACAGUACCGGGAGAAUAAGCCCCGGCUAACUCCGUGCCAGCAGCCGCAGUAA
rnacentral:rRNA from 1 species